GAUGAACGCUAGCUACAGGCUUAACACAUGCAAGUCGAGGGGUAACGAGAGGGAAGCUUGCUUUCCUUGUCGACGACCGGCGCACGGGUGAGUAACGCGUAUCCAACCUGCCCCCAACUAGGGAAUAACCUUGCGAAAGUAAGACUAAUACCCUAUAAUUUCCUCAGAUGUCAUCUGACGAGGAAUAAUGAAUUAACGGUUGUGGAUGGGGAUGCGUCUGAUUAGCUUGUUGGCGGGGUAAAGGCCCACCAAGGCAACGAUCAGUAGGGGUUCUGAGAGGAAGGUCCCCCACAUUGGAACUGAGACACGGUCCAAACUCCUACGGGAGGCAGCAGUGAGGAAUAUUGGUCAAUGGGCGGAAGCCUGAACCAGCCAAGUAGCGUGCAGGAUGACGGCCCUAUGGGUUGUAAACUGCUUUUAUACAGGAAUAAAGUUAGCCACGUGUGGUUAUUUGUAGGUACUGUAUGAAUAAGGACCGGCUAAUUCCGUGCCAGCAGCCGCCGUAA
rnacentral:rRNA from 1 species